CCUAUGGAUGGAGAGGAUCUCACCGAGAAAAUUCUUGAUGGUUUAGAAGAUGAUUAUAAGCCAAUCAUUGACAUCAUCAAUGGUCGUGACACACCGAUUUCCUUUGAUGAGCUGCAUGAAAAACUCAUCAAUA